CAGUAGCCGCGGUAAUACGAAGGGGGCUAGCGUUGCUCGGAAUGACUGGGCGUAAAGGGCGCGUAGGCGGAUCACGCAGUCAGAUGUGAAAUUCCUGGGCUUAACCUGGGGGCUGCAUUUGAGACGCGUGGUCUAGAGUGUGAAAGAGGGUCGUGGAAUUCCCAGUGUAGAGGUGAAAUUCGUAGAUAUUGGGAAGAACACCGGUGGCGAAGGCGGCGACCUGGUUCAUGACUGACGCUGAGGCGCGAAAGCGUGGGGAGCAAACAGGAUUAGAUACCCGAGUAGUCCCUGUCUCUUAUAC
rnacentral:rRNA from 1 species